GGAUUCACAUCUCUUCUUCUACCUUUCUUCUUUUCUUUUAUUUUCUGUUUUGUUUCAGCCAUGAGAGGCUGAAACCUUUUAUUCUAGUUGAAGAACAAGUGAAGCUUUAGUUGUUUCUAUGGAUUGAGAGACUUGGACUACAUUGUUAAUCUUUUGUUAUUCAAUAUUCAUGUAAUCUUGUGCUUAAUCCCAUUAUUGCUUUGUUGUUUGGAUCUACAUUGAUUCUUGAUUGCAAGGUAAUUGAUAUUUGUUAGUUUGGAUAAUUUUAAGUCCGUAAUUGCUUGGAUUGUUCAAACAUAAGAACACUUGGUGUAAAAGCCAAGGAUAUU
rnacentral:lncRNA from 1 species